UACGAAGGGGGCUAGCGUUGCUCGGAAUUACUGGGCGUAAAGGGAGCGUAGGCGGAUAUUUAAGUCGGGGGGUGAAAGCCCAGGGCUCAACCCUGGAAUUGCCUUCGAUACUGGAUAUCUAGAGUAUGGGAGAGGUGUGUGGAACUCCGAGUGUAGAGGUGAAAUUCGUAGAUAUUCGGAAGAACACCAGUGGCGAAGGCGACACACUGGCCCAUUACUGACGCUGAGGCUCGAAAGCGUGGGGAGCAAACAGG
rnacentral:rRNA from 1 species